rnacentral:rRNA from 1 species
UACGUAGGGGGCUAGCGUUAUCCGGAAUUACUAGGCGUAAAGGGCAGGCAGGCGGAUCCAUAAGUUUAUCGUUUAAGGCGUCGGCUUAACCGGCGUAGGGCGGUAGAUACUGUGGAUCUGGAAUGCGGUUGGGGAAGACAGAAUUCCUGGUGUAGCGGUGGAAUGCGCAGAGAUCAGGAGGAAUACCGAAGGCGAAGGCAGUCUUCCAAGCCGUUAUUGACGCUCAACUGCGAAGGUGUGGGUAUCAAACAGGAUUAGAUACCCUGGUAGUCCCUGA